GUUCCCUCCUGGGGAGGAGGAGGGCCGGUGGGAUCUGUCGGGGAGAAGGUGGGCCGGGGGACUCCUCCGGGGGUUGUAGGAGAGCCGGAGGGACCCUGCCGGGGAAACGGUGGGCCGGGGGACCCCUCUGGGGGAAGAGAAGUGGGGGAUACCUGCCGGGGAAACAGUUGAUCAGUGGACCUCUCUGGGGUAAGAGGAGGGCGGGGAGACCUGCCGUGAGAAGGUGGGUCAGGGGACCCCUCCUGGAGAGAAGGUGGGCCGGGGGAAUCUCUCCGGGGGAGGAAGAGGCUCGGGGAGACUUCUCUGGGGGAGAGGAGGGCAGGGGGACCUGCCGGGGAUGUGGGCCGGGAGACCCCUCCAGGAGAAAAGAUGGGCCUGGGGACCCCUCCGAGGGAGGGGGGAGUACCUGCUGGGGAAACAGUGAGCCGGGGGACCCCUCUGGGGGAAGAGGAGGGUGGGGGGACCUGCCGGGGAGAAGGUGGGCCAGGGUGAAGGAGGGCAAAAGGACCCCUCUGGGGGAGAAGGUAGGCUGGGGAUCACUCUGGAGGAGAAGGUGGGCAGGAGGACCCUCCAGGGAAAAGGUGGGAGCCUCUGGGUGAAGGCAGGCCUGGCUUCCUCUGAGAAGGUGGUCAGGGACCCCCACCAGCAGAGGGACAGGGGGCAGCUGGGGUUUCCUCUUGUUUCUUCCUUCCUGCUCCCUUUCCCCCUGAUUCCUGGGAACAGCUAGCCCUCCCACACAGGAUCCUUGACUCUCCUGUUGCUGAGCCCCUAGAGGACAGAUUUCUGGGGAGCCAGGAGCACGCUGGCACAGACUCCAGCAGUGCCUGGGACGUGCUCAGCAUCAGCUCUAGGCGGUGACCACUCCAUCCUCCGCACUUGCAGGGACACUUCGGCACUGCCGCUCCACAGACAGUGUUUGAAACUCUACAAUAGACAUACUACGUUUGAAACACACGAGAUCCGUAAGAGCUCUUUCACAAAAGAAAACAAAAAACGGUGAACCAGAAUGCUCGACCAGCGGCUGGGUGAGCGACGCGGACCGCCGCGGGGCGUGGACGGUGCGCACGCACUGCCAGCGCAGGUGGAGAGGAGGCCGGAAGGGCUCACUGCUCCGCCCCGAGCUGUCCCAAGCACAAGCCGGAAGCACUCACGGCCCCGCCCCGCGCACAAGCCGGAAGCGGGCCACGGCCCCGCCCCGUUCUAAGCACAGGCCGGAAACGGCCCCGCCUCUCGCACAAGCCGGAAGCGUCUACGACCCUUUCCCGAACCGCGCAGAAUCCGGAAGCCCUCACGGCACCUCUCUGCGCCGUCCAGCGCACAGGCCGGAAGCAACUCGCGGCCCCGCCCCGCACAGAAGCCGGAAGCGCACACGUCCUUUUCCCGCCCCGCGCAGAGGCCGGAAGCGCUCACGGCCCCGCCCCAACCCGCCUGAAGCUGGGGCCGGAAACAGUGGCGGCUGCGUCCCUCCCCUUGUAUAGACCGGAAGCGCCCAGCUCCUCAGACUGGGGAGGUGGAUUUCUGUCCCGUUUCUCUAAGCCCCGCGGCGGGGCUUGUCCCCAUUGCUGCCGGCUGUGCGACCCUAGGGACGCCACAGCUGCGGGCGGUCAGAGUCGUGUGGCCCCCGCAGGGUCGGCCCUGGAGGGUGGUGGGCCCAAGGGCGCGAGGUGCACACGGAGAAAACCACAAUGAAGGGUGGGUCUGGUCAGUAGGGACAGUAAUACACGUGCUUCUAGCGGGAUCUGGUGCGUUUCUUCCUUGGGCUUCUUUCUCCACGUUCAGUCCCGCUUCCCAGCACGGGGACGAGGAUGACAGCGCGAGUCCCUUCGGGCUGGAGACCGUAACCCCCUCGCAGAACAGUUUUGAAUUGCACUCACUCUAGCGAGCUCUCAGGCAGCUGUUGAGCUUUUUAAUUAUGUAAGUCCACUCCCCCACUGCCCCUCGCCCCCGACACACGCGUGGACUCAAAGUCAGGAUCCCCAGACCUCGUCCUCGCACCGAGAAGGCCUGGUGCCUGCGGUAGCGGUCCCAACUUGAAUUAAGUCUCAGUAACAUCUGUUGCUACAAGAAAUUUAAAAGCGACACCGUACUUUAUACUAAAAGAAUAAAGAUUUUUAUUAAGCA